AGUGUUGAAAAAUAGUCGUGGCAAUCAUUCAGGAUUAGCGUCGGCACCUCAACGGAUAAAAAGAUGGCUGAAAAGGCCGCGCGCGUUACUCCUUCCGUUGCUGAUGAACACUCGCUUAGGAUAGUCACACGUAUAAGAUAUAGAUACAAACCACAGUGACAGAGAUUCGUCCGAUUCUUAGGGAGUUGGAGGAAGAGCGAAGGAGGGCGUGAUUAAUUUCAUCGAUUCGGCAUGACACAAGGCCCCUCUCGGUCCCCUUACGGUCAUUGUGGAUGGACGGUCGGAGGCCCAGAAGGUGAUAAAAAAAUAGUAGAAAAACAUGGAGUCGAUAACGUGCAUGUAAACCGGUACCGUGGACCACCGGAUCAGAUGCCCAUUACAAUGCUUGCCUGGUCGUCCACCUUUUGGGUCUUUCCCUUCAUUCUUCACACCUCUCUCAUAAGUUACUCUGGACGGUGCUUCCACGUCGUAGUUAGUCAUGGCUGGACUUGGGCCUGAGGUUUGCGGUUAUAUUUGUGCUUCAAAACCGGAAAUGGAAAAAUGUAUUUAACACUGGAGAAUGAUUCGGAUACCUGAUCCCGUUACGGGCAUUCAACGAGAUACUCCUGGGCAGUGCUAGUGAAGAAAUCAGUUAUUUAUCCGUGGUACGAGCGUGCUCGGCUUUGAAUCUUCAUGGGAUCGUUGAGGAUUCGUGUAUGUGGAUGCUGGUACGAGAUGCGGCUGGUGCAUUUGGCUAUUGCAAAUUUCAAUGGUACCCUCGAGCUGGAUGGCACUGUAGAUCUUUUAUUGUCCUGCUCAAACGUCAGCAUUAUGCUAUCUCGAUAGUGUCCCAAUAAUUAAUCGGAAUCCAAGAGGCGAACUCAAUUUGCAAGGAUGCCGCGAUGCCACCGAGGCUCCAGGUUGAAUCGGCAGAUGCUAUCUCGCCCUUGGAUCCUUUCCGUCAAAGGAGAUACUAGCGUGUGUAUCCUUAUACAGUGUCUGAGCAUGAGAAGAUUGUCCUACUGUUUUCAAUGGUGAAUUGUAAAGAAUUCGAAAACGUUGGUGGAUAUAUGAAAAAACAUUAAUUCGGUGACACAUAACAGUGCGAUCUUCGUAAUCUGGAUCGUCUUUGGGGUCCAUGAGAUGCGGUGGAUGCUGUGAAGCAUGGAAGAGAAGUCUGAAGAAAUAUUUUAAAAAACGUGGAAACGGACGAAUAGUAAUGUAAGGCUGCUGCGGAUUGAACGUCGAGAUGAAAAAGUGUGAAGAAUAAAUUUUGAUGGAGAAGUACAGCAUCUAUGGUCCAUUGAUGAAGCUAGACCGGCUCUUCCAGGAAGACGUGGUUCCUUUCCAAGAGAUUAUCUUCACUCUCCGGAUCGUCAAUGACUCGUUCUUCUUUCUCCUUCAUUUCUUCUAUAAGUGUUCCUGUCAGUCUGUCUAGUCGAGACGCGUACCAACAAUAGAGAAAUGGCAACGAUAAUGUAUAACCAAUGAAGAAUGGGAGCAUCAUUGCUUCGUACACGGUGGACGAUCCAGUCCCGCCAGUCGUGACCAAUCCUUUGUCAGUCAAGAUGAAAAUACAUUGGAAUCUAAUUUUCACUGAUUGGAGACCCGCUGAUAAACGUACGUUGAUCGGCUGAGGAUGUCCAGAUGAAAUUGGAACCCAGAAGCAGGAACGACGCAUCGUGGGAAAUCAAAUGGGAUCCAUACGAAUUGGCAAGAGUUACAAGAUGAGCUCUUGGGACGGUUCGAAACUGGCGCGACGUUACAGAAGCAGAAUGUCACACGAUAUGAAAAACCGGCCGAUUCAAGAGGACUGGAAAGUCUGGACUCUCGUAUGGAAUUCAUGACGUAGUCUGCGAGUUCGUUUAGUAUUCUACUUGGGUUUCACACGGAGAACACACGAUACUCUGGGUAAACAGUAUUACAUUAGCGUCCUGAUCAAACACCUCCCGGCCUCCUGACGAUCACGAGGACGAUGACGUGUUGACGUGUUCCGGUUCCGGUUUGCCUGUCCAAGCUCACCCCACGCAUUUACUGCGGUUUACUUAUUAUCGCACUCGGCGACGUUUCAAGGAAACGGGAUAAUGUUCCAUUGACUUUUCGGACUUUUGGAACUCAUCAGAAUUUUCAUUCCACCGGGGACAACAUUGGCUACUGAAAGAUUCACUGUUCUCUGAUGUAUUCCGGAUGAGAAUUUGUCCUUUGACCAUUGGCAAGUUUCUAUUGAAGGAAAAAUAAGAAAAAAGGGGUGCAAGUGUGAUUACGGCAGUAACGUGUACUAUUUGGUGAAUAACGACAAAUAUUUGGUAAAAGAGCGCCAGGCUACAAUUACUAUAGAACACAUGGCCACUGCCAGUGUAGCUGUUAAGUGUCUCGUUGCACGUUAUUUCGCCAUUCUUAGCAAACGCUCCCUUGAAUCAUUGAUUGGAGACCACUAUGAAUUGUCCAGUGGUUACUUAUUGUACCUGGUUAUUGAUUUUCUAUCGAAUAACCAUGUUUCAUGGCCGGGGGCUGAAGCGCUAGAAAAUGCCCAAGACAAGUAUCAGGCUGAUUAUCGAUGCUCGUAAAGUUGGACAUAACCUCAAAAAGAUCAAGAAUGUCCAACCGUACAUUAAUCUAUCGUUAUAAUCGAAUUACUUCCAUAUAACAAGAUAAAUAGUGACUAAAAUGGAAUCUCAUGUCAUGGGGGCGAGUAUCGCCCCGUCACGAUGACUCUUUAGCUAAACCCCCCACUAAAGUCAGUUCAUACCAAAGCAUCUGUGACAAUUCAUAUAAGAGUCCGUUCCCACAAAAUUGACAUAGCCGAUACCUAAUAACCAAAGAAAUCUUUAAUUUGUAAUCUCACAAGCAAUAAGGCUGGACCACGUAAAGAAGUAACUGACAGGAUGGUCAAAGGAUUCUCGUCAAGGUUCAAGGAGUCCAGAGCUUCUGAUGCUGUAUAAAUCGGUUACUCGUUUAUUAACCGUCGACGGAUUUGCGGUUUAAUCGUUGCGGUACUGCAGACACGGCUUUAAGGAUAUUCCAAUGUUUUUGAGGCACGGGCUGAUCGGUUUUUUUUAAACCAUCAUCCGUAUCUCAAUUUUUUUUCACUUUUCUUCUCUUUGCCAACGGCGGAACGAUCCUCGAUUGCCGAUCGAUCGGCAGCUCGUUCCGUGUCUCUACGGUGAUCGAUGUCAUUUUGUCACGGCCACGCCCGAGCACGUGACGCCAUGGAUGCGUUACAGGUGUUUGCCCAUCGUCCGUACGUUUGUCCCUGAAGGUAGUGCCACGGGUGGAUUUUAUACUCAUGACUCUUCUCUUCCUGGUCCAGCCGUACGUAGAUAGAUGGAGGACGGCAUAGAAUAGUUUACUAUAUAUUACACUGUCAUCCUGUUACGCUCUCUGACUAUGAGUAACUAUAUAUAUUAUGGUUUAUGUUAGCGAGACCAGCAUCUGCAACCAAUCUGGUGAAUGUGAAAUCGUGAUGUCCUGGGAAGGUGUCACUUGAGUGGAUGGGUCAGCAGCCUUUGUCCAUUUUUGUCUUCGAAGUUGGUACACCUCCUACGCUUACUUUACUACUAUAUACGUUUCAUCCUCUAUAGGUACUUCCUUCUUCGUGUACCGCUGGUACUCCUCUCUUGGCACAGCUCAUUUUCCACGCCAUAACAUUGUCACUGGGAGGCAUCGACUUUUUACUGGUUACCGUUCGUGUCAAGACCACGAGACCGGCUCUACGUCGGUGGCCUCUCUGAAUAGAGUUUGGACAGACUGGAGCAGGACGCACAGGAAUUGUCAUAAACUCUGAGGUUGCAGAAUUCAUGGAUCAUGGGUUACUGGUGUAACGUGGUAAAAAAUAAAGCGGCGCCUUGGGCGACGGAUGUGGCGGUACCGGAAGUCGAGGAAUAUUGAGAUGAUCGUUGAGCCAGGUCUUUAAGUCAUGGCUGAGACGGGGACCGUAAAGCAGAAUCAAGGGACAGCGAGGGAGCAAGAAAAGGAAGAGAGACCCGAAGUGGAGGUGGAGAUAGAGAAGAUGGUCCAGUGGAAAGCGUGUAGAGGAUAGAGAGGAUAGGAAGAUAAGAAAUCGAGUAGGCGUAAGAGAAAGAAGGCAGUAGGUUAGCCUUUUCGCUGUCAGACAGGGAACCUUCGGGGGGCCCACCUGUUACCAAUUACCCUGAGGCCCCUGGGCAUCUCCUGGGCCCUGCGCUAAUGUCGACAGCGCUACGGUGGCAGUGCUGCCACAACACUCCGCUAAUCUGUCACGAAUGCCUUAUGGAUUUAUUGUAUUACGUGUACCAGGAGGGAGAAAUGUCUACGCAGAAUUGCAUAACCAAGGUGAAGAUCGAGAGCGAGAUGCUGGAGAAAACCGGUAACUUCCCUAUGCAGGAUGAUCUGGAUAUGGAAUAGUACAUAGAGGUCGACCUCUAGGAGGAUCUUCCCUUCGUCAAGGACUCUGACUUCUUUCCACGGACUGGCAAGGUCCUUUCUUCUGCGACAGAGUCCGUUGUCCGGGAGUACAUCGACCUCGAGGAGUACCUAAGAGCUCUGAGAAAUGGCUGACUUCUCGUGUGCUCUACAUGUAGGAUUGAUUUUCCUGAUCAAGACAAGUUCAAUGUACGAACGAUUUGUAACUGUGAUGGAAAGCUUAUUUUUUAUGAAAUAUGCACAAUACAAUUUCCAGGUCAACUACGUCGAAGGAUCGUAUACUCGUGCAUUUAGAAUGAAAAUCCUAUAUGUAUCUGCGAGUAUUGCAAUUGUCCAUAUUCUGAUAUGGAAGUCCUGAAGAGUCAUAUUGCAUCGGUGCACUUUAAAAUAAGGCUCAUUUAGGGUAAGGCCCGCAGGAAAGUACUGGCCCAUAAGCAAUCUUCCAAGGAUCACAGCUUACUACACAAAACCUCGAAGCCUUCCUAACGCGCGGCUUGCAAGAAGAGAUUUAUAAGGCCCAGUAGUCUUAGGGCCCAUAUAAUUGUUCACAGUGCGGAAGUGCCUUCCCGAUAUCUGCUAAGCGAGAUUCAAACGUUCUCCAGUACCGAAGACCCAUAAGCUCACGCUUGGUGGUUAAGAGCUGAUUCGAAUGUGAGAUUUGCAAGGAGAGAUUUUAUCUCAAACGCGCACCGCAGCAUCACAUAUUCGUGCACUAUGGGCACGAGGUCUUACCAGUGCACAAGAUAUGAGAAUAGUUAUAGAAGAUGGGCCUUGAGGCCCAAAAAAAUUAUCAAAUUAAUACCAAGAUAAAUCACAAAGAUAUAUAAAAGAUAUAUUCAAUAUCAUAAAAGCAUUUGAAUUCGAAAUUCAUGUAAAAAAAAAUUUUUUUCUUCUGCUUCCUCCCUAGGGAUUAAGUUUGAAAUAAAAAAUUUUUUUUACCAAUAAUAGCACACAGUCUGACCAACUUUACAAUAUUUUCAAUAUCGUAAGGCUAUGAAGUCAAUUAGCCAGCCCGAGCUCCCAAUACAUCCGAAGAUGAGAUUUUGCAUACUGCCGAGUUGCCCAUCUAUAAUAAGCACUUUGCCCAUGGAAACAAUACGAUUAAUUCAAGAGUAGAUCAGACCAGUCUUCGAAGCUGUGCUAUACCUCCUACUUAAGUUAGGUAUCGAAGUAUCGCGUAAUUAUAGUGUUUUCCAGUAUUGGCCGGACGUGACGACCGCUGCCCUCUGUACCGUUCUUAGAAAUUAGUAACGAACCAACAUGGAACGUCCUGUAGGAACAAUCUACUCCAUAUACUUACAGAGGAGACACAGAGAAUCACUACUGGGAAUGAUAAUUAUCAUAAUGGCCAGUUCGCAAUUAAUAAUUCUGAAUUGGUCGCUGCGAUAAUAUUUUUCUUAAAUCAAAUUAUCAUUCCUACACCGUCCUAUACCUAUACAGUUUUGUAGGCACGUGGGAACGACGUGCUAAGGUGCGUGCUCCCAGCACACGCUCGUAUACAGUAAUCUGAGAAGAGUCAGGACAGAUCGCAUCUCUGGUCCAGCGUACCAGCUUUGACAAUGCCGACUCACCUUCAUGCGGGAUCAACCAAGGAACAGAAUUCCUCCGUUAUACGAUAACUUAGUGGGAUUUGGUUAAAAAGAUUUUGGUGAAAAAUUUUUUAUUCGGUAAAAAAAUAUCUUAUUACUUUACAAUCUACUUAUUACUUCAAUCUUGCGCAUAAAAGACCAUCCAAACUUACUUGAGACUCGCUCAACAUGUAUACAAGUCACAGGACAUGCACACGUCUAAUUAUAAUCAGAAACUUCAUGAAAUUGUGAAUCGCACAUACGGAGCUGUAAUUUAUCUCCGUUAUGCAUAGUCACGCUAGGGACUUAUUUAGAUAGAGAUCACUUUAGUUAUUAACAAUGGCGACCGGCUUGUUACCAUACUGUAGGAAUGAUCUGCUCCGUUGCUAUAUGCUAAUUUACGUAGCAGGAUGCUAUACGUUCCGAGCCUCCCUCUGUAACUUUACACUAGACUUUACUAAAUUUCUCAUUCGACCACGCGUGCACGCGCCACGUUUAAUACGCCCCUGAAAUUUUUCUGGCGGUACAAGCAAAACCGUCGGAUGGACCGAGGAGAUGAAAUAAAAAUAAUUGACGAUGGUAUAGGGUAUAUGGGUAGUAGUAGGGGGUUAUACCGAGGAAUUAAAUCAUGGCGAUGUCGAUUAGUAUUGACAAUGGCGAUUAAAGAGGACGAAUAAGUGGCCGGUCCGUAAUGACCAUGGAGAGCGUAGUGAGUAGUGAGCACUGUAAUUUCAUUGAUAAUAUUUAAAUAGGGGCUUUUAAUAGCUGUCUUUUCUUGGCCGGCAUUAGUAACAGGGGCGGGCAGAGGGACGAAGAAGCGGGGGGGCCCGAGGGCCCCUUUCUUUACCUUUACACUCCCUCCUCACGAUCUUAUACACUCUCGGCACGGCUUCCUCUUGUUCCUCCAUCCUUCUUUACCUUCUGUAUUUUUUACCUCUCUCCUCCUCUCGCGGUACCUUUUUUAUUUUCUCCUCUCUUACCCGAGCUGACAUGCGCAGAGGCGUACUAUUUAUCGAGUGGGCCCCGUCAUUAUUUCAUCGAACUCUUUCAGCGCGUCAUUAAUCGAGUCUCAGGCCCCUCUUCCUGACCGUGGGCCCGGGUAUACACACCUCCCACAUGCCCAUCCCCUGUGAACCAGAGAAUUAACGAUAUCAACAUAGAGAGGCAGGUGGUUAAGAAAGGCGCGCGAUUUGAAAUUUCAAAGGCUGCCAAGUCUCGUGCAACGUCGUAGUGAUAUCCAAAAAUGGAAUUGGGAACGAUCUGGAUGUAAAUGAGCGCGAGGAAGGAUUCUGAUGUAUAUCGAUGAGGUAUAUCGAUACAGGUACCGAACAACCGAGUUUUUUUCACCGUCAGCGCAAUUUGAUACAAUCUAAUUGGAUAUGAAAUUAAGUCAACGAAAUUCCGACAAAAAUUCAAUGCGCCCCGUUCCUUAUUCUUCGACCGUCGACUUUGGCUUUCCGCCUUCGCGUCACUAUACCUCUUCUUCUUCUUCUUCUUCUUCUUCCGCCUGAUUCUUCGUUUCUUUUACUUUUUCCUCCUCUCCUUCCCCCGACUCUCGUUGCCCCUCCUCUCCCACGUCCAUUGGCAUCGCGACGGGGUGAUAUUUGAAAUUUAUAUUUUCCGCGUGCGCGAAUCGACCCUGACGCAUCCGUCAUCUUUUUCAGUUGUAAACCCGGCCGCAUAAUUGUACAACCGCAUAACGAACCGCCCGGGUGCAUUACGUCCGUUUCAGUCGACGUCAGGACGGAUCAAUGUGCAUCCUAUAGAGAUGCAGGUGCAUUAUUUUCCUUCAUGCAUUUAAUGAUACGAAUAAUCGUGUUUUUCACUGAAUUAAGGAUAUAUAUAAAUGGGCACUGCGAUUGUCCACUUUCAAUGUCCUGAACCCUUGAAUACACAGUACCAAGAGAAGCUACCUGGAAUAUAAGUUUACGCGAAGGGACGUAGCUGGACAAAAAGUCUACAAGACUGGGGAUAGA